GGGCUAAUGAUGAUAAAUCUUAUCUUAGCGGAUUUCAAUGAGAUGUCUGUCAAUGAUUUGAUUUGUUACACACACUGAAGCCU